GUGCUCACUUCGGCAGCACAUACACCAAAAUUGGAAUAACACACAGAAGAUUAGCAUGUCCCCUGCAGAAAUUCGUGCUUUCCAUUAAAAUAAUUUUU
rnacentral:snRNA from 1 species